CGUCAGCGCCGGAUGGCCGCGACACCAGCCUCCCCGGGCAACCGGGUCGCUGGGAUCGAGGAAAGUCCGGGCUCCGCAGGGCAGGGUGGUCGCCAAAUGCGACCGUCUCCAGUCACAGGGGGAUAGGGACAGUACAACAGAGAACAGACCGCCGGGCGUCGCAAGACGCCCGGUAAGGGUGAAACGGCGGGGUAAGAGCCCACCGCACGACCCGCGAGGGAAGUGGCACGGCAAACCCCACCCGGAGCAAGCCGAGCCUGGCGAGGUGCUGCCCGCACCGCUUGAACCAGGCGUAAGGUGCUAGAUGACCUGGAGCAAUCCAGGUCGCGAGAGAAAUGGCCAUCUGCAAAACAGAACCCGGCUUAGAGGCGCCAUCUGUGA
rnacentral:RNase_P_RNA from 1 species